rnacentral:rRNA from 1 species
AUUGAACGCUGGCGGCAGGCCUAACACAUGCAAGUCGAGCGGAUGAAGGGAGCUUGCUCCUGGAUUCAGCGGCGGACGGGUGAGUAAUGCCUAGGAAUCUGCCUGGUAGUGGGGGAUAACGUCCGGAAACGGGCGCUAAUACCGCAUACGUCCUGAGGGAGAAAGUGGGGGAUCUUCGGACCUCACGCUAUCAGAUGAGCCUAGGUCGGAUUAGCUAGUUGGUGGGGUAAAGGCCUACCAAGGGGACGAUCCGUAACUGGUCUGAGAGGAUGAUCAGUCACACUGGAACUGAGACACGGUCCAGACUCCUACGGGAGGCAGCAGUGGGGAAUAUUGGACAAUGGGCGAAAGCCUGAUCCAGCCAUGCCGCGUGUGUGAAGAAGGUCUGCGGAUUGUAAAGCACUUUAAGUUGGGAGGAAGGGCAGUAAGUUAAUACCUUGCUGUUUUGACGUUACCAACAGAAUAAGCACCGGCUAACUUCGU